GAUUCUCGUAGAUUCUUGAUGAAUACACUAGUGGAACUUAGAGUCUGCCCAGUCCGUGUAUAGAAAAGCCGUGACAAGACUUGCAUACUAUGUGAGAGAUGAAAAAUUGGUAAAUCAAUGAAUAUAAAAUGUUAACGAUGGUAAGUAGAUUAAAAACUGAUCUCCAUUAAGAUUAUUUUUAUUUAGAUGGAAUCAUCCUUAUUAAACCGGAAUCACUUAACUAUGCACUUUUCAUAGAGACAUUACAUUUUAUCGGAAUCCACUUUGUUCUUCGUAUGCAACAAUAAUAUAUUAUCCUAUUUCAGCGAU